rnacentral:rRNA from 1 species
GACGAACGCUGGCGGCGUGCUUAACACAUGCAAGUCGAACGGAAAGGCGCUGAUUUUGUGGGGUGCUCGAGUGGCGAACGGGUGAGUAACACGUGAGUAACCUGCCCUUGACUUUGGGAUAACUUCAGGAAACUGGGGCUAAUACCGGAUAGGAGCUCCUGCUGCAUGUUGGGGGUUGGAAAGUUUCGGCGGUUGGGGAUGGACUCGAGGCUUAUGAGCUUGUUGGUGGGGUAGUGGCUUACCAAGGCUUUGACGGGUAGCCGGCCUGAGAGGGUGACCGGCCUCAUGGGGACUGAGAGACGGAGCAGAAUGCUACGGGAGGCAGCAGUGGAGAAUAUUGCACAAUGGGCGGAAGCCUGAUGCAGCAACGCCGCGAGCGGGAUAACGGCCUUCGGGUUGUAAACCGCUGUCGCCUGUGACGAAGCGUGAGUGACGGUAAUGGGUAAAGAAGCACCGGCUAACUACGUG